ensembl:ncRNA C14C11.11 ncRNA
UUCAAAAAUGAAAACACAAAACAUGACGGAAAAUGAAAUAAGAGUGAAGCCAGUUUCGAGCCGAAAGUGGUGGACAUUGUGCGGGUGUGUGCUUAUUUGCUGCUUGGAGCUGGACAGUAUGGAAGGGUCAGAAAAGAGGGAGCAAAGGGCAGACAGUUGGAGGGACACAGAGUGUGCUCCGAGAGUUGCUGAAGGCGCCAGCUCCACCCAUACCGACCAUCGGAGGAGAAAAGAUGGAGAUAACUGACAACACACACACACACAGACUUUCUUAGCGGGGUGAGGAGACAAAUUGUUGGAGGGAGGGACUCACCGCCCGAAUUCGGCUUGUUUUUGAGGAAGUCAGCAGGCCGAGAUUGCCGAGUUAAAAAUAGACAUUUAGGUGUGUUAAAGGGGGUUUUGAGGAAAAGGAACAGGGUGGUGACAAGGCUAA